rnacentral:lncRNA from 1 species
AGAAGUGUUCAAUAGUAAUCAACCCUGCAGUCUUUUUCUUUCUGGUUUUGGGUUUUUGUUCUUGCCUAGAAAGACCUUCUUCACCACAAAUGCCAGAAAACAUACUCUGUGUGUUUGAAUUCCUUGGACUUGAUUGAGACUUGUUUCAUGGUUCAGCAUAUAGUCUGCCUUGGCUAGUCCAGCAAUUCAGGAGCAUUUCCGUCUUUCUAAGUUUUUGUGAUAGUUGAAUCAGACCAAAGGAGAUAACAGAAGAACUUGAGAAACUCUAGCCCCAGCAUCUUGAAAUGAAUGAUAAGAUACAGAAGUCUACAGCCAAAGGUAAAGAAGAGAGUCUAAAAACUCAAACGUAUCUAAAAGCCAUGACACAGAAGGCCUGGAGACUGCAUGGAAUGAUGAGGACUGCAGUAAACUCUGAAGUGCCUACCCAUGUGAAACGAACAAGUGCUAUUCGGAAGAAGCGGGUUGUGUUAAUGUGGAAGUAGCUGGAUGCCAGUUUUCUGAGAUUUGCCCAAACAUGGAUGGCUUGCAUGUUACGAAAGGAUUUUGCCGUGUCAAAUGUUUUCAUUUCGUUUAUUAGUUAAGACAUAUAACUCAAAACUCUUUGGCCACCUCUAGGAGUAUGUAUUUCAUUAAGAUUAUGUAAAAACUAUUAAUAGUUUCACAAUUGAAUACAUAAGUAUGUGCCUAUUUGGGGAGGAAGGGGCAUUCAAAUGACAAUUAACAGUAACAGAGUAACAGAAACUGAAAUCUCCGGCCUACCUCUAGGUCCGUUCCCAAGAAUAACAUUGUUAGUCUCACCCCAAUUCUAUUUAGAAUUUAGUGCUAUUCAUCUGUAUCCUGAUAUAAUCAUUGUUAAAACAAAUAAUUUGCUCUCAUUACGAAAAAAUAAAGAAUUUACCUAAAACCUAUCUCUUUUCCUCUUGUACAUCGAAGGUUUGUUAUAAUUUUCCAUUCUGCUAAUGAUUCUCAUUUUAAAGCAUUCGAAUUGAUGUUAAUUGCAUAAGGAAUACAGUAAUAUUUCCUCCUGAUAAAAAUCUAACAUGUUACAAAUAAGGCUGUUACCCCUUUGAUUCUCAUUUUGAUCUACACAAAUAAUUGAAUAUUUGUAAGGCUGUGAUACAAUAAUCACAAAUAAGUGAUACAAUAAUCACUUUGGCCUCCCAAAGUGCUGGGAUUACAGGCAUGAGCCACUGCGUCUGGCCAACAUUUACUUUUAACGUGUUACUGAAACUACUAUUCAGGUUGAGUAUGUACAUAAUGGAAGCUGACUCAAAAUUUAACUGCUCCUAUAAGAAAAAAAAACUAUGCAUUUUCACAUUAUUGUCCAUCCAUUCAUUUAUUCAUUCAUUAAAUUGUGUAUUUAUUAAUGCAGAGCCAGAUAUUAUGAAUACUCAGAUGAUUAAGAACCAUAUAUUACUCUCAAGAAUACACUGUGAAGUGAAAAGAUCAAUGGUCAGUCCCAGACAUCGAUUUCCAAGCAAAUAUUAAGUCAUUAGAUCAAUAGUAGCCAAUAAUAGGACCAAGCCUCUUUCCCUUUGGAUUCCUAUCCAGCUGUUGCCUCUGUGAGCAAUGCAGCUUCCUAAUUUCUUUGGUAUACAAGCUUUUCUACUGUUUUCUUUACAUUUCUAAGGCCUCUGCCACCACUUUUAACAUCUAGUUUAUUAAUUGUCACUACUUAAGUUAAUCUUUGUUCUAAGAAACAUAUUUUCUCAAAAAGAUCUAGAAAGAGAUAAGUUUCAUUAAUGGAGACUUUUCAUAUUAAAAAGUUGCUGGAAACCGUUUUCUCAUGCUUUUAAAAAUAAUUAUUUUAAGAAUAAGGUGGUAUUCCAAUAAAGGUCAUAAUUAACAUAAACUUAAUAAAAAAUUUGACCUAGGGAGGGUUUACUUAAUGUAAGCUUCAUUAGAAAUCUCUUUUAUUCUAAAAUAUUAAACCUAAUCAACCCAAACAAAAUUACUCAGCAUGCUGAAUAUGAUACUGAAUGUAGUUCUGUACAGUGUUUUCUUUAAAUUUGAAAGGUCAAUCCAGACUAUCAAACCAUGACCAGCAAUUACCCAUUACAGAAUCGUCAAUAAUUUUAACUUUGAAAAUAGUAGACAGAAAAUGGGAGUUCAUAAUUAUUUGCUGAAUGAGUGAAUGGGAGCUGGAACAGGACUCAGGCAACCUAGUGUAAUUACAACUAGUUUGUAUUCCCUGGCCCUAGUUACCUCAUCUGCAGAGUGAGAUGCGUGGAUACUGUUCGAUUGUAACAUAUUUUAUAUGUAUUAGGUUGGUGCAAAAGUAAUUGUAAUUUUUGGCCUUACUUUCAUUGGCAAAAACCACAAUUACUUUUGCACCAAUCUAAAUACUUUCUAUAUACUGGUGAAGACAGAAAUUCAAUGAUUCAAAAAUACAAUAGGAAUGUUUUUCCCUUCCAAGUACUUUCAGUUUAGAAAAAUGGCCAAAAUUUCUGUCUGUGAUAGUUCUAAUAUUGAAAAAGUAAAGGUAAUAUAAACCAUAAUAAACAGCAUAAGUAUAUUUUAUGUGAUUAUUUUGAUCAUUUAUUCCCCAAUACUAUAUGACUAUUUCCUGUGUGACAUGCACCCCACCAAGUGCUUAGUAUGUAAUAUAAAAAUAUAGACAUACCUCAUUUUAUUGCACUUUAUUUUAUUGUACUUUGUAUUAUGUUUUUUACAAAUUGAAGGUUUAUAGAAAUUCUGCAUCCAGCAAGUCUAUCAGUGCUCUUUUUCUAAUAGCAUGUCCUCACUUUCUGUCUCUGUGUCACAUUUUGGUAAUUCCCACAGUACUUCAAACUUUUUUAUUAUUAAUAUAUCUGUUACUGUUAUCUGUCAUCAGUGAUCUUGCAUGUUAUUUUUGUAAUUGUAUUGUAAUUGUACUGGGGCACCUGAACUAUGCCCACAGGACAAAUAAGAUGGCAAACUUAAUCAAUAAAUGUUCUGUGUAUUCUGACUGCUCCACC